rnacentral:lncRNA from 1 species
UUUUAAUUUUGCUUUGAUUUAAUUAUUUCUAUUACAUUUGAGUGAAGUUGAUUAAAUCCCUUGAGCUUUCCAGUCACUUACAUGGUACUCUCCCAUGUUCUGUUUAAAGAUUUUGGCCAGUUCUAAUCACCAAAAGUUACCUUUUUUCUUCAUUACAAUCUAGGGAAAUUACCUUAUUUUUCUUUUUUCUCUUGACAGUCGUGAAACAGCUGGCAGCAAAGAUGACAAAGGUACUGACAGAAAAGUUAUUUUUUUCCCCUUCAUUUUGAUGUUAUGGAUCGAUGUCCAUUCCAGUAGCAGCCUCAAAACCAUAGAUCACCUAGCGCGUGACUUCCAAAUCAACAAGAGACAUUUACAGGAUCAUUUCCUCCAGUUUUGAAGACCACCAUCUACUUCCGUUUCAUGGCUUAUAGUUAUCUAGAAGGUAUCUGUCUUGAGACAUAACUGUUAGAAAAAGGCAGCACGAUGAAGUUACAUGAAUAAAGAAGCAGGAAAAAGAAGUGAAGAGGAACAGGCUGGCAGAAUGGAGACCAGGAUGGGAACAGGCACAUAGAUUGCCUCACGAAGACAGGUUCGGCCAAACUCAGCAAACCGCUCAGAGAAGCUCAUACAGAAAGUCGCUGGAAAUAGGCGCACUGGAGCUGGAGAGAAGCUUGAGCUGAGAGAAGCAGACCUGUGCACACAACUGCCUCUCACUGGUAAGCAGUUGCGCAUUAUGUUGAAUCAUACGUCCUUAGGAACAAAGACUGUCCUGGUAACCUUACAGCUUAUUCUCCUUAUUAACAAUUGGACAGUUCAUGAGCCUGAAAUAUGGGACCAAACUGAGGUCAAGGUGUGGGAUUCUGCAACUAAAAAUGAUGAGGUUGCAGUGGACCUGCCGAACAGUCUCUGAGGCCUUGAAGAGCCAUGUGGGGCCACAAUCACAAACGUGUGGUUUGUCAGAUAGUGAGGGAGCUGCGGGUUCCUUUACUGGUCUGACUGCUAUGCCAUCGCCAUGGGCCCCUCUGCUGCUACAGCCAUCGAAGGACUUUGCUGUUACGCCUCCUGUUGACCUGGACGUGCCUUUUGACCCAGGCCUAUUGGCCUUGAAAAGGAGACAACUUAAAGCAAGACAUUGUUCAAAAGGAAUGGAAAAUGGAGACUGUUAAGUUAUGGAACUCAAAGGAUUGUUUGUUACCUUUCCUGAUUGCAUAUGAAUAGGCAUACUUGUGUUUAGUGUGUAAAGCAAUGUUUAGAAUAUGUUUAGAAAGUUUGAUGUUUGUUUGUGCAUGUUGCUGGAGUGUAGGCUCCUCGCACACCCAGCGCUGUUUACUUGCCUUUUAUACCUUUUUUACAGCUUUUAUACCUUUUAGAAAUAUUUGUU